GAUCGGUUCAUCGAGCAUAAACCUUGACUGGAKAAGUCUGGGUAAUCUUUUGAAAACCGGCUCGUGCUGGGGAUAGGAUCAUUGCAAUUAUGUGCACUCUUCAACRAGGAAUUCCUAGAUAAACGCRAGUCAUCAACUCGCAUUGAUUACKU
rnacentral:rRNA from 1 species